GAAAAAAUGGGGCAAGACGCUCGUCAACACGUUGAUGAGUCAUUCUCUACCAAGAUUUUUGGUCAGCAUUUGAAUAGAUAUCUUGUUGAUAUUGCUCGAGGCAAGAAGGAAUAAGUAUCCUUUCGGACUGUUACCUUAAAAGCGGAAGUUGUAGUUAAAUUAACUGCGGGAGUUUACUGCACUUGGCGCUCCCUUUUUAGUUUAGACCACACUGAUUGUGAUACAAAAGUUGGAAAUACAUUCUUUUUUCUUAGUAAUGCUUAUCAAAA
rnacentral:misc_RNA from 1 species